ACCUGGAGGUCCUGGACACUGUGCUACUGGAGACUGCAGUAUUGUGUUAGGGUUGCAGCCUUGCAGGCAGUCCAGGACUCCAGGUCCGGUGGCCGCCGCCCGCCAUUGUCUAGUGCCCAGUGCCGUCUGCGCCUCUGCCGUCUACCGUCGUCAGCUCGUCGCCCACUUUGGCACCGGCAGUCUGGCACUCCACGUCGCAGCCACCUUCCAAUGCCAUCCACUGUCUCUCACUCGCAGAGUUGCAGGCCGCAGGCCCGACGGCCGCCAGCCGGCCAGCCUGCCAUGCCUCCCGGCUCUCACCUGGGCGAGUGGGCAGACGCAGACGCCUGCCACCGCGGCACCUCCUCCUGGCCAUGCAGUGACGCAGAGCCACAGACACCGGUCACCGCCCGCCCGCCCGCCCGCCGGUCGCCGCCUCUGUUGGACUGUUACUCUGUGUCUCUGUCAGUGCUUCUGUGGUUUUGCUAUAUUAGAAUCAGUGAAUCACAGAAUGCUGACCGGAGUUGUGCACUUGGGCUGAUUGCUGAACGCACUUGUGCACUUGUGCUUAUGCUUGUGCAGAAUGGUGACCGGAGAGUUGUGGUAUAUUUGAGUCUGCCAGAUUGAAGUUGUGCUGAACGCGUGUAUCUCAGUAUGUACAGAUGUGCUGGACCGCCUGUGCAUAUGGACUGUAUGUCUGUAUUCUGUACUCCUGUAUGUGUUGGACGCCUAUAUGGCAGAUUGGCGGAUGGUUGGUAUAAUUCGGG
rnacentral:misc_RNA from 1 species